GUGUCUGUAGCCUAUUUGGUAAAGGACACAAUCUAGUAUGUGUCUCAGCAUUGCUGAGUUUGUGGGUUUGAGUCCCACCAGACACA